UACGUAGGCAGCAAGCGUUGUUCGGAAUUACUGGGCGUAAAGAGUGUGUAGGCGGUGCUCUAAGUUCGGUGUGAAAUCUCCCGGCUUAACUGGGAGGGUGCGCCGGAAACUGGAGUGCUUGAGCGCGGGAGAGGAAAGCGGAAUUCCUGGUGUAGCGGUGAAAUGCGUAGAUAUCAGGAAGAACACCUAUGGCGAAGGCAGCUCUCUGGGACGGUACUGACGCUGAGACGCGAAAGCGUGGGGAGCGAACAGG
rnacentral:rRNA from 1 species